GAUGAAGAACGCAGCGAAAUGCGAUAAGUAAUGUGAAUUGCCGAAUUCAGUGAAUCAUCGAAUCUUUGAACGCACAUUGCGCCCGCCAGUAUUCUGGCGGGCAUGCCUGUUCGAGCGUCAUUACAACCCUCAGGCCCCCGGGCCUGGCGUUGGGGAUCGGCGGAGCCCCCCGUGGGCACAAGCCGUCCCCCAAAUGCAGUGGCGGUCCCGCCGCAGCUUCCAUCGCGUAGUAGCUAACACCUCGCGACUGGAGAGCGGCGCGGCCACGCCGUAAAACACCCAACUCUUCUGAAGUUGACCUCGAAUCAGGUAGGAAUACCCGCUGAACUUAAGCAUAUCAAUAAGCGGAGGA
rnacentral:misc_RNA from 1 species